rnacentral:lncRNA from 1 species
CCGUCGAUCUUUUGGCUCCUCCUCCCCAGCGAAUAGGACGGGCUUUACGCACGGAACGAGGCGAUUGGCUGUUUUGACCCAGGUCAGAAACCGGUAGCCAAUGGAAAAGGAAAAAGAGUGGGAGUCGAGCCAAUAGUGCAGAAGGGCCUACAUUUAGAGUGACUUCCCCACGGAGGGGUCAAACCCAGUGGUGCUCAACUCUACCACCGCACUGCAUCAUUUGACCUGAUCCAGCUUUAAGUUGCUUCCAUCAUACUCCCAUAUCCUUAAUAUAUCUAUUCCACACGUUU